rnacentral:rRNA from 1 species
GACGAACGCUGGCGGCGUGCUUAACACAUGCAAGUCGAACGCUGAAGCUCAGCUUGCUGGGUGGAUGAGUGGCGAACGGGUGAGUAACACGUGAGUAACCUGCCCUCUUCUUUGGGAUAACGCCCGGAAACGGGUGCUAAUACUGGAUAUUCACUGAUUCUCGCAUGGGGGUUGGUGGAAAGGUUUUUUCUGGUGGGGGAUGGGCUCGCGGCCUAUCAGCUUGUUGGUGGGGUGAUGGCCUACCAAGGCUUUGACGGGUAGCCGGCCUGGGAGGGUGACCGGUCACAGUGGGACUGCGAUACGGCCCAGACACCUACGGGAGGCAGCAGUGGGGAAUAUUGCACAAUGAGCGAAAGCCUGAGGCAGCGACGCCGCGUGAGGACUGGAGGCCUGCGGGUUGUGAACCUCUUUCGCACAUGGUCAAGCCGCAGCUUUGGGUUGUGGUGAGGGUAGUGGGUAAAGAAGCGCCGGCUAACUACGUG